rnacentral:rRNA from 1 species
AUGAGAGUUUGCGGCCUAUCAGCUAGUUGUCGAGGUAACGGCUCACCAAGGCUAAGACCUGGGUAGCUGAUCUGAGAGGAUGAUCAGCCACACUGGAAGUGAGACACGGUCCAGACACCUACGGGUGGCAGCAGUUUCGAUCAUUCACAAUGGGCGAAAGCCUGAUGUGCGACGCCGCGUGGGGAUGAAGGUCUUCGGAUUGUAAACCUCUGUCACUUAGGGAGAAAACGCUUUGAGUUAACAGUUCAAAGCCUGAUUUAACCUGGAGACCAAGCAGUGGCUAACUCUGUGCCAGCAGCCGCGGUAAUACAGAGACUCAAGCGUUAUUCGGAUUCACUGGGCGUAAAGGGUGCGCAGGCGGCCGUGUGUGUAAGGUGUGAAAUCCCGGGGCUCAACCCGGAACUGCGCCUUAAACUACAUGGCUAGAGUAUUGGAGAGGGUAGUGGAAUUCACGGUGUAGCAGUGAAAUGCGUAGAUAUCGUGAGGAACACCAGAGGCGAAGGCGACUACCUGGACAAUUACUGACGCUCAGGCACGAAAA